GAUGAAGAACGCAGCGAAAUGCGAUACGUAAUGUGAAUUGCAGAAUUCAGUGAAUCAUCGAGUCUUUGAACGCACAUUGUGCCCCCUGGUAUUCCGGGGGGCAUGCCUGUCCGAGCGUCAUUGCUGCCCUCAAGCACGGCUUGUGUGUUGGGCCUCCGUCCUCCUCCCCGGGGACGGGCCCGAAAGGCAGCGGCGGCACCGCGUCCGGUCCUCGAGCGUAUGGGGCUUCGUCACCCGCUCUUGUAGGCCCGGCCGGCGCUUGCCGACACAUCAAUCUUUUUUCCAGGUUGACCUCGGAUCAGGUAGGGAUACCCGCUGAACUUAAGCAUAUCAAUAAGCGGAGGA
rnacentral:misc_RNA from 1 species